GGGUAGGGUGGGCUCGCCGGGCCGCACGGACCGGUUCCGUUCAGGCAACCAGGAAGCCGGUGCGAUUCCGGCGCGGUCCCGCCACUGUGACCAGGCCACGGCCUGGGAGUCAGGAACUGCCCUGAACGGAUGGCCCCAG
rfam:Kibdelosporangium phytohabitans strain KLBMP1111, complete genome.